rnacentral:rRNA from 1 species
AUACGGAGGGGGUUAGCGUUGUUCGGAAUUACUGGGCGUAAAGCGCACGUAGGCGGACUGGAAAGUAUAGGGUGAGAUCCCAGGGCUCAACCCUGGAACUGCCUUAUAAACUCCUGGUCUUGAGUUCGAGAGAGGUGAGUGGAAUUCCAAGUGUAGAGGUGAAAUUCGUAGAUAUUUGGAGGAACACCAGUGGCGAAGGCGGCUCACUGGCUCGAUACUGACGCUGAGGUACGAAAGUGUGGGGAGCAAACAGGAUUAGAAACCCCGGUAGUCC